AAAAACUUAGUUAAAAUUAUAACAUUAACUUGUCAAGUUAAAAUCAUUAGAAUUAAUAGUUUUUG
rnacentral:tRNA from 1 species